rnacentral:rRNA from 1 species
GCAUGGAUCUGCGGGAAAAGGAUUUAUUCGCUUCAGGAUGGACUCGCGUCCAAUUAGCUAGUUGGUGAGGUAACGGCCCACCAAGGCGACGAUUGGUAGCCGGACUGAGAGGUUGAACGGCCACAUUGGGACUGAGACACGGCCCAGACUCCUACGGGAGGCAGCAGUGGGGGAUAUUGCACAAUGGGGGAAACCCUGAUGCAGCGACGCCGCGUGGAGGAAGAAGGUUUUCGGAUUGUAAACUCCUGUCGUUAGGGACGAUAAUGACGGUACCUAACAAGAAAGCACCGGCUAACUACGUGCCAGCAGCCGCGGUAAAACGUAGGGUGCAAGCGUUGUCCGGAAUUACUGGGUGUAAAGGGAGCGCAGGCGGACCGGCAAGUUGGAAGUGAAAACUAUGGGCUCAACCCAUAAAUUGCUUUCAAAACUGCUGGCCUUGAGUAGUGCAGAGGUAGGUGGAAUUCCCGGUGUAGCGGUGGAAUGCGUAGAUAUCGGGAGGAACACCAGUGGCGAAGGCGACCUACUGGGCAUCAACUGACGCUGAGGCUCGAAAGCAUGGGUAGCAAACAGGAUUAGAUACCCUGGUAGUCCAUGCCGUAAACGAUGAUUACUAGGUGUUGGAGGAUUGACCCCUUCAGUGCCG